rnacentral:rRNA from 2 species
AUACAUGCAAGUCGAGCGAACAGAUGAGAAGCUUGCUUCUCUGAUGUUAGCGGCGGACGGGUGAGUAACACGUGGGUAACCUACCUAUAAGACUGGGAUAACUCCGGGAAACCGGGGCUAAUACCGGAUAAUAUUUUGAACCGCAUGGUUCAAUAGUGAAAGACGGUUUCGGCUGUCACUUAUAGAUGGACCCGCGCCGUAUUAGCUAGUUGGUAAGGUAACGGCUUACCAAGGCGACGAUACGUAGCCGACCUGAGAGGGUGAUCGGCCACACUGGAACUGAGACACGGUCCAGACUCCUACGGGAGGCAGCAGUAGGGAAUCUUCCGCAAUGGGCGAAAGCCUGACGGAGCAACGCCGCGUGAGUGAUGAAGGUCUUCGGAUCGUAAAACUCUGUUGUUAGGGAAGAACAAAUUUGUUAGUAACUGAACAAGUCUUGACGGUACCUAACCAGAAAGCCACGGCUAACUACGUGCCAGCAGCCGCGGUAAUACGUAGGUGGCAAGCGUUAUCCGGAAUUAUUGGGCGUAAAGCGCGCGUAGGCGGUUUCUUAAGUCUGAUGUGAAAGCCCACGGCUCAACCGUGGAGGGUCAUUGGAAACUGGGAAACUUGAGUGCAGAAGAGGAGAGUGGAAUUCCAUGUGUAGCGGUGAAAUGCGCAGAGAUAUGGAGGAACACCAGUGGCGAAGGCGGCUCUCUGGUCUGUAACUGACGCUGAUGUGCGAAAGCGUGGGGAUCAAACAGGAUUAGAUACCCUGGUAGUCCACGCCGUAAACGAUGAGUGCUAAGUGUUA